rnacentral:lncRNA from 1 species
GAUGAAGAUAGAACAGACGAGGAAGGGCUUAUAACAGAAUUGAAGGCGAACCUGUUGCAGAGCGCGGAGGACGACGAGGCUGGAGAAGAAACCGGCGCAAGAUCGACUGAAGCAGAACCGGCCGGCCAUCGUCGAUCUGCUCGGAAUCGGAUUCCGCCUGCCCGAUUCCAAGACUACACCCGACCCUAAUAAAUCAUUUAAAGGAGGGUUAGUUUAGAGUAAAGUGUGAACCUGUCACAACUUAUCAAUAUUGUGUCUUAAGUAUAAAUUGGGAAUAUUGUGUAAUGGGAUUUUUAUCAAACCAUUCAAUUAAGAAUUGCUAACGCAACAAAACGGGUUGAAGCAACCUAGGGAUUCGAGCUUACUGUUCCAUUGCCUCCGCCUCCUUCCUUUUCAUACGUAUUAAUGGUGCUUUCAAUGAUCUCCUGCCGGCGUGCGUUGCUCUGAGUAAGGUCACCGGGAUCAGCAUCAAGGAUCUUCAAGGAUUUGUAUUCCUGCAAAAAAAAAAUACAAACUCUUAUCAAAGCAUGUUCUGUGCUUAACAGAUCCUUACCAGGGACGUAUCUAAUCUCAACUACAACUCAUUAUUCUGUUACUAAGUUGUUGUGUAUCGCAGAUCUAAAAAAAAAAGAGGAAAAUUUUUUUAGAGCCGGAUAUUGAAGAAGGACUGGUAUCCCUAUAAUAUACCAAACAACUAUCCAAGGCGUGUUCUGUGCUUGACAGAACCGUAUCAGGGACGUAUCUUACCCCUAAAUCUCAUCAAUUAUCCGUUCAUUAAAGCUUUUUAAUUUUUUUUCCAGUAAUUGAAAUCUAUAAGAAAAAAUGGGUGAAUCAAUGGAAACUCAACUAAAAAGAUUACAGAUUAAGCAAGAUGUGGAAAGUGAAAGAAUGAAAAAGAUGGAGCAGACCUUGGCUCAAAUGAGUGAGUCACUAUGUCUACUUAGCAAAACAGGAAGUCAAGUAACUGGACAGAGUUCAAACAACUCAGACUUCAAAUCCAAAUCUGUGAGAUCCGAAAUGCCUAAGUUUGAUGGAGACAAUGUGCAAGGUUGGGUCUACAAAGCCAACAAAUAUUUGAGAUACCACAAUGUGCCAGAUGAGGAGAGGAUCACAGUAGCGACCUUCAAUAUGGAAGGUGAGGCUUUAGAAUGGUUACUAUGGGCUGAUAGAAAUAAUCAAAUAAAGUCAUGGUAUGAUUUUGUGGAGGAUAUCACUAAAAGAUUUGGCACCUCUGCGUAUGAGAUUCCUGCUGGAAGACUUAGCAAAGUAAUGCAAAUCACUACUGUCAAGGAGUAUCAACACAGAUUCGAGAGCCUAGCAAAUAAAGUAACUGAUAUAAAUCCUAGAGUUCUUAAAGAAAUAUUUAUGGCAGGAUUAAAAAAUGAAGUACAAAAGGACGUGAUAAAAGCCAGACCUGAAACACUAGUUGAG